GACGAACGCUGGCGGCGUGCUUAACACAUGCAAGUCGAACGGUAAGGCCCUUCGGGGUACACGAGUGGCGAACGGGUGAGUAACACGUGGGUGAUCUGCCCUGCACUUCGGGAUAAGCCUGGGAAACUGGGUCUAAUACCGGAUAGGACCACUGCCUGCAUGGGUGGUGGUGGAAAGCUUUUGCGGUGUGGGAUGGGCCCGCGGCCUAUCAGCUUGUUGGUGGGGUGAUGGCCUAACAAGGCGACGACGGGUAGCCGGCCUGAGAGGGUGACCGGCCACACUGGGACUGAGAUACGGCCCAGACUCCGACGGGAGGCAGCAGUGGGGAAUAUUGCACAAUGGGCGCAAGCCUGAUGCAGCGACGCCGCGUGAGGGAGGACGGCCUUCGGGUUGUAAACCUCUUUCAGCACCGACGAAGCGCAAGUGACGGUAGGUGCAGAAGAAGGACCGGCCAACUACGUGCCAGCCGCCGCCGUAA
rnacentral:rRNA from 1 species